UACAGAGGUCCCCGAGCGUUGUUCGGAUUCAUUGGGCGUAAAGGGUGCGUAGGCGGUCUUCUAAGUUUGAUGUGAAAUCCCGGGGCUCAACCCUGGAAUUGCAUUGAAUACUGGAGGACUAGAGUACCGGAGAGGAAACUGGAAUUUACGGUGUAGCAGUGAAAUGCGUAGAGAUCGUAAGGAAGACCAGUGGCGAAGGCGAGUUUCUGGACGGUAACUGACGCUGAGGCACGAAGGCCAGGGGAGCAAACGGG
rnacentral:rRNA from 1 species